rnacentral:rRNA from 1 species
UACGUAGGGUGCAAGCGUUAAUCGGAAUUACUGGGCGUAAAGAGCUCGUAGGCGGUUUGUUGCGUCGGCUGUGAAAUCCCGAGGCUCAACCUCGGGUCUGCAGUCGAUACGAGCAAACUAGAGUGUUGCAGGGGAGACUGGAAUUCCUGGUGUAGCGGUGAAAUGCGCAGAUAUCAGGAGGAACACCGGUGGCGAAGGCGGGUCUCUGGGCAACAACUGACGCUGAGGAGCGAAAGCGUGGGGAGCGAACAGG